AUGCUGCUGCUGGCAGCGCUUGUGGCCACAGCCACCUGGUCUUAUGGAUUUACACAAGAAAUUCCUGUGCAGAGCCCUAUUUCCAUCACCAAGUCUAAAGGAAGUGUACGUCUGGAAUGUCACUUUAAAGAUGUCUCUGAAGAUUUUGAUCGCACCAUCAUACACUGGUAUCAACAGAAGGUGAAUAAAGUUCCAGAGAGGAUUGUCUACUUAGCAGGGACAAAAGUAGUAGACGAAGGCUUCCAAGCAUACAAGUACAUGGUUGAAAAACUUUCUAGCCAGAAAGUGUAUAUUCUUACAAUAAAUGAUGUCAUCCCAGAUGACACUGCUACCUAUUAUUGUGCCUACUGGCAUGAUCACAGUGUUGUACACAGUGACUAUUACAAAGUCUUCGGAACUGGCACAAAGCUUAUCGUUUCUGACAAAGGAUAUUCUCAACCGGCAAACUCUGAAAUCCUGCAGAAGAGACAUGAAAAUCAGAUAACAUAUGUUUGCCUUAUUGAGAAAUUCUACCCAGAAGUCAUUCAAGUGACAUGGACUGAUGGAGAAAAUAAGGAGAUAACAGACAAUGUAGUAAAAGGAGAUGCCUGGAAGUCCACAAAAGAGGAUGAGUACUCAAUCGGCAGCUGGCUGACUGUACCAGUGGAGAACAAAGACAAGAACUAUUACUGCAAAUACGAGCAUGAAAGCCAACAGAGAUCACUGCCAACACAAG